rnacentral:rRNA from 1 species
AUUGAACGCUGGCGGCAUGCCUUACACAUGCAAGUCGAACGGCAGCGCGGACUUCGGUCUGGCGGCGAGUGGCGAACGGGUGAGUAAUGUAUCGGAACGUACCAUUCAGUGGGGGAUAACGCAGCGAAAGUUGCGCUAAUACCGCAUAUUCUGUGCGCAGGAAAGCAGGGGAUCGCAAGACCUUGCGCUGAUCGAGCGGCCGAUAUCAGAUUAGCUAGUUGGUGAGGUAAAGGCUCACCAAGGCGACGAUCUGUAGCGGGUCUGAGAGGAUGAUCCGCCACACUGGAACUGAGACACGGUCCAGACUCCUACGGGAGGCAGCAGUGGGGAAUUUUGGACAAUGGGCGCAAGCCUGAUCCAGCCAUGCCGCGUGAGUGAAGAAGGCCUUCGGGUUGUAAAGCUCUUUCGGCCGGGAAGAAAUCGUAUGGGUUAAUACCCUGUGCGGAUGACGGUACCGGCAUAAGAAGCACCGGCUAACUACGUGCCAGCAGCCGCAGUAAGAC